GGGGGAGUGGAGGAAUUGGUUUACUCGCCGCACUCAAAAUGCGGUGCCCGCAAGGGCGUAGGGGUUCGAGUCCCCUCUCCCCUACCA
rnacentral:tRNA from 1 species